rnacentral:rRNA from 1 species
GGGUUGUGAGGUUAAGCGACUAAGCGUACACGGUGGAUGCCCUGGCAGUCAGAGGCGAUGAAGGACGUGCUAAUCUGCGAAAAGCGUCGGUAAGGUGAUAUGAACCGUUAUAGCCGGCGAUGUCCGAAUGGGGAAACCCAGUGUGAUUCGUCACACUAUCGUUAACUGAAUACAUAGGUUAACGAGGCGAACCGGGGGAACUGAAACAUCUAAGUACCCCGAGGAAAAGAAAUCAACCGAGAUUCCCCCAGUAGCGGCGAGCGAACGGGGAGCAGCCCAGAGUCUGAAUCAGCUUGUGUGUUAGUGGAACGGUCUGGAAAGUCCGACGGUACAGGGUGAUAGUCCCGUACACCAAAAUGCACAGGCUGUGAACUCGAAGAGUAGGGCGGGACACGUGGUAUCCUGUCUGAAUAUGGGGGGACCAUCCUCCAAGGCUAAAUACUCCUGACUGACCGAUAGUGAACCAGUACCGUGAGGGAAAGGCGAAAAGAACCCCGGCGAGGGGAGUGAAAAAGAACCUGAAACCGUGUACGUACAAGCAGUGGGAGCACCUUCGGGUGUGACUGCGUACCUUUUGUAUAAUGGGUCAGCGACUUAUAUUCUGUAGCAAGGUUAACCGUAUAGGGGAGCCGCAGGGAAACCGAGUCUUAACUGGGCGUUAAGUUGCAGGGUAUAGACCCGAAACCCGGUGAUCUAGCCAUGGGCAGGUUGAAGGUUGGGUAACACUAACUGGAGGACCGAACCGACUAAUGUUGAAAAAUUAGCGGAUGACUUGUGGCUGGGGGUGAAAGGCCAAUCAAACCGGGAGAUAGCUGGUUCUCCCCGAAAGCUAUUUAGGUAGCGCCUCGUGAACUCAUCUUCGGGGGUAGAGCACUGUUUCGGCUAGGGGGUCAUCCCGACUUACCAACCCGAUGCAAACUACGAAUACCGAAGAAUGUUAUCACGGGAGACACACGGCGGGUGCUAACGUCCGUCGUGAAGAGGGAAACAACCCAGACCGCCAGCUAAGGUCCCAAAGUCAUGGUUAAGUGGGAAACGAUGUGGGAAGGCACAGACAGCCAGGAUGUUGGCUUAGAAGCAGCCAUCAUUUAAAGAAAGCGUAAUAGCUCACUGGUCGAGUCGGCCUGCGCGGAAGAUGUAACGGGGCUAAACCAUGCACCGAAGCUGCGGCAGCGACACUAUGUGUUGUUGGGUAGGGGAGCGUUCUGUAAGCCUGCGAAGGUGACCUGUGAGGGUUGCUGGAGGUAUCAGAAGUGCGAAUGCUGACAUAAGUAACGAUAAAGCGGGUGAAAAGCCCGCUCGCCGGAAGACCAAGGGUUCCUGUCCAACGUUAAUCGGGGCAGGGUGAGUCGACCCCUAAGGCGAGGCCGAAAGGCGUAGUCGAUGGGAAACAGGUUAAUAUUCCUGUACUUGGUGUUACUGCGAAGGGGGGACGGAGAAGGCUAUGUUAGCCGGGCGACGGUUGUCCCGGUUUAAGCAUGUAGGCUGAUUGUCCAGGCAAAUCCGGAUAAUCAAGGCUGAGGUGUGAUGACGAGGCACUACGGUGCUGAAGUAACAAAUGCCCUGCUUCCAGGAAAAGCCUCUAAGCAUCAGGUAACAUUAAAUCGUACCCCAAACCGACACAGGUGGUCAGGUAGAGAAUACCAAGGCGCUUGAGAGAACUCGGGUGAAGGAACUAGGCAAAAUGGUGCCGUAACUUCGGGAGAAGGCACGCUGGUGUGUAGGUGAAGCCCCCGCGGGUGGAGCUGAGACCAGUCGAAGAUACCAGCUGGCUGCAACUGUUUAUUAAAAACACAGCACUGUGCAAACACGAAAGUGGACGUAUACGGUGUGACGCCUGCCCGGUGCCGGAAGGUUAAUUGAUGGGGUUAUCCGUAAGGAGAAGCUCUUGAUCGAAGCCCCGGUAAACGGCGGCCGUAACUAUAACGGUCCUAAGGUAGCGAAAUUCCUUGUCGGGUAAGUUCCGACCUGCACGAAUGGCGUAAUGAUGGCCAGGCUGUCUCCACCCGAGACUCAGUGAAAUUGAACUCGCUGUGAAGAUGCAGUGUACCCGCGGCAAGACGGAAAGACCCCGUGAACCUUUACUAUAGCUUGACACUGAACAUUGAGCCUUGAUGUGUAGGAUAGGUGGGAGGCUUUGAAGCGUGGACGCCAGUCUGCGUGGAGCCAACCUUGAAAUACCACCCUUUAAUGUUUGAUGUUCUAACGUUGGCCCCUGACCGGGGUUGCGGACAGUGUCUGGUGGGUAGUUUGACUGGGGCGGUCUCCUCCCAAAGCGUAACGGAGGAGCACGAAGGUUAGCUAAUCCUGGUCGGACAUCAGGAGGUUAGUGCAAUGGCAUAAGCUAGCUUGACUGCGAGCGUGACGGCGCGAGCAGGUGCGAAAGCAGGUCAUAGUGAUCCGGUGGUUCUGAAUGGAAGGGCCAUCGCUCAACGGAUAAAAGGUACUCCGGGGAUAACAGGCUGAUACCGCCCAAGAGUUCAUAUCGACGGCGGUGUUUGGCACCUCGAUGUCGGCUCAUCACAUCCUGGGGCUGAAGUAGGUCCCAAGGGUAUGGCUGUUCGCCAUUUAAAGUGGUACGCGAGCUGGGUUUAGAACGUCGUGAGACAGUUCGGUCCCUAUCUGCCGUGGGCGCUGGAGAAUUGAGGGGGGCUGCUCCUAGUACGAGAGGACCGGAGUGGACGCAUCACUGGUGUUCGGGUUGUCAUGCCAAUGGCACUGCCCGGUAGCUAAAUGCGGAAGAGAUAAGUGCUGAAAGCAUCUAAGCACGAAACUUGCCCCGAGAUGAGUUCUCCCUGAGACUUUAAGUCUCCUGAAGGAACGUUGAAGACGACGACGUUGAUAGGCCGGGUGUGUAAGCGCAGCGAUGCGUUGAGCUAACCGGUACUAAUGAACCGUGAGGCUUAACCUUACAACGCCGAAG